CUGCCCCUAAGCUGCUGUCACCUGCUCUUCAUGGAGCUCUUGGGCUUGAUGUCAUCAGAGCAGUCACCCCCUUGGGGGAAGAGUGUGCAUUCAGGGGCCCCUGCGACAGGACAGCAAACACGUUUGUUUGCAGGCCCGGGGAGCUUCCAGACAAAUGAUCUCUGACACUUUGUGCCAAAGCGAUUGAGCAAGAGGCAGGAGCCAUGUCCAAGACAGAAUCCUGCCAAAAUGCAUAAUCGAUAUAGUUGAGGUCAGAAGUCUUUCAAGGCUGGGGUUCUCGACGCAACAGCUGGAUUUGUUCAGGAUAAUCCACUUGGAAACACCAUUUUGGAUUCACGUGAGGAAGCAAUGAGCUUUCAGUGUGUAAAGGCCACAGGGCUGGCGUUACCCGGCUGAUACACUCUGCUGCUUCACAGGCUCUAGGACCUUGUGAGGGCACCAUCGUCCGUCCGGGUUUCAUACGGGAAAUCUAUUUGUCGGGUUAAUUGAGUUGAUGAAUUUAAGCAGAUGGUACUGACCUCCUCGUCUCUAAUACAUACUCCUCCUCUCACAUAUGGUGAUUCAAAGUUGACAUGAACAUGGGACAUCCAGCACAGACCAGUUACGGACCGCCUGUGGGACAGAUUUAGGACCAGCCUGGGAAGUGCAUGUAUUAUGACUGGGGUCUAACUGCUUUGAAUAAAAUGGCUAAGAAAAACGUGAGAAUGAAAAAUCCUUGCUGUGCAUCCACUUGCAAAUAUAUCCAGGUCUGUGAGCCCUUGAAAGACUGAAGUUUGUAAUCAGCACAGAGGAACCCUUGGAAGGACUUCUUUCUGCCUGUAGAGCUCGAGUCGGAUGCCGUCUGGGACGCAGCUGAAAGCGGCUGGAGAACCGGUGCACCUGAGAGAACUGAGUUCUGGGACUUUACGGAAGUCACUUUGGGUGGAGGAGUCCGGUGGCAGGAACGUGACUCAAGCCCAACUUAUCAAAGUCUCCACCUGA
rnacentral:lncRNA from 1 species